AUUGAACGCUGGCGGCAUGCUUUACACAUGCAAGUCGAACGGUAACAGGCCGCAAGGUGCUGACGAGUGGCGAACGGGUGAGUAAUGCAUCGGAACGUGCCCAGUCGUGGGGGAUAACGCAGCGAAAGCUGCGCUAAUACCGCAUACGAUCUAUGGAUGAAAGCGGGGGACCGUAAGGCCUCGCGCGAUUGGAGCGGCCGAUGUCAGAUUAGGUAGUUGGUGGGGUAAAGGCUCACCAAGCCAACGAUCUGUAGCUGGUCUGAGAGGGCGACCAGCCACACUGGGACUGAGACACGGCCCAGACUCCUACGGGAGGCAGCAGUGGGGAAUUUUGGACAAUGGGCGCAAGCCUGAUCCAGCAAUGCCGCGUGCAGGAAGAAGGCCUUCGGGUUGUAAACUGCUUUUGUACGGAACGAAACGGCUCUGGUUAAUACCUGGGGCUAAUGACGGUACCGUAAGAAUAAGCACCGGCUAACUACGUGCCAGCCGCCGCCGUAACAC
rnacentral:rRNA from 1 species